AAGUCGUAACAAGGUCUCCGUAGGUGAACCUGCGGAGGGAUCAUUACAGAGUUCAUGCCCUCACGGGUAGAUCUCCCACCCUAUGUUAUCAUACCUUUGUUGCUUUGGCGGGCCUUGAGUAGGCUAUACGGCUCAUGCCGGCCCCCAGCAGAAAAUGCCGGGGGGCGGCUCGCGCCCGCCAGAGGUUCAAUCAAUUCUAUUAUUAGUGAAGUCUGAGUAAAUAUUAAAUAAUCAAAACUUUCAACAACGGAUCUCUUGGUUCUG
rnacentral:misc_RNA from 1 species